rnacentral:rRNA from 1 species
AUACGUAGGUGACAAGCGUUAUCCGGAUUUACUGGGCGUAAAGGGCGUGUAGGCGGUCUUGCAAGUCAGAUGUGAAAUCUCCCGGCUCAACCGGGAGCGUGCAUCUGAAACUGGUACACUUGAGUGCUGGAGGGGAAAGCGGAAUUCCUUGUGUAGCGGUAAAAUGCGUAGAUAUUAGGAGGAACACCGGUGGCGAAGGGGGCUUUCUGGACAGUAACUGACGCUGAGGCUCGAAAGCGUGGGUAGCAAACAGGAUUAGAUACCCUGGUAGUCCACGCUGUAAACGAUGAUUACUAGGUGUGGGGGGACUGACCCCUUCCGUGCCGCAGUUAACACAAUAAGUAAUCCACCUGGGGAGUACGGCCGCAAGGUUGAAACUUAAAGGAAUUGACGGGG